CCUACGGGAGGCAGCAGUGGGGAAUUUUGGACAAUGGGCGCAAGCCUGAUCCAGCCAUGCCGCGUGCGGGAAGAAGGCCUUCGGGUUGUAAACCGCUUUUGGCAGGAACGAAACGGCGCAAGCCAAUACCUUGCGCUAAUGACGGUACCUGCAGAAUAAGCACCGGCUAACUACGUGCCAGCAGCCGCGGUAAUACGUAGGGUGCAAGCGUUAAUCGGAAUUACUGGGCGUAAAGCGUACGCAGGCGGCUUUGCAAGACAGGUGUGAAAUCCCCGGGCCUAACCUGGGAACUGCAUUUGUGACUGCAUCGCUAGAGUCUGUCAGAGGGGGGUGGAAUUCCACGUGUAGCAGUGAAAUGCGUAGAGAUGUGGAAGAACACCGAUGGCGAAGGCAGCCCCCUGGGAUGAGACUGACGCUCAUGUACGAAAGCGUGGGGAGCAAACAGGAUUAGAUACCCUGGUAGUCCACGCCCUAAACGAUGUCUACUAGUUGUCGGAGGGUAACUCCUUCGGUAACGCAGCUAACGCGUGAAGUAGACCGCCUGGGGAGUACGGUCGCAAGAUUAAAACUCAAAGGAAUUGACGG
rnacentral:rRNA from 1 species